AGGACGAACGCUGGCGGCGUGCUUAACACAUGCAAGUCGAACGAGGUGCUUGCACCUAGUGGCGAACGGGUGAGUAACACGUGAGCAACCUGCCCUUGGCUCUGGGAUAGCCUCCGGAAACGGGGAUUAAUACCGGACAUGACCUUGGUCUGCAUGGACUGAGGUGGAAAGUUUUUUCGGCCAGGGAUGGGCUCGCGGCCUAUCAGCUUGUUGGGGGGGUAACGGCCCACCAAGGCGACGACGGGUA
rnacentral:rRNA from 1 species